rnacentral:rRNA from 1 species
UACGUAGGUGGCGAGCGUUGUCCGGAUUUACUGGGCGUAAAGAGCGCGCAGGCGGCUGGUCAAGUCCGAUGUGAAAGCUCCCGGCUUAACUGGGAAAUUGCAUCGGAAACUGAUCGGCUGGAAGGUGGGAGAGGGUAGCGGAAUUCCCGGUGUAGUGGUGAAAUGCGUAGAGAGUCGGGAGGAACACCCGUGGCGAAGGCGGCCAUCUGGACCAGCACUGACGCUGAGGCACGAAAGCCAGGGGAGCAAACGGG